GCCCGGGUAGCUCAGUUGGUUGAGCUUCCAACUUCAGCUUGGGUCCUGAUCUCACAGUUUGUGAGUUCAAGCCCCACAUCAGGCU
rnacentral:tRNA from 1 species